rnacentral:rRNA from 1 species
CCUACGGGGUGCAGCAGUGAGGAAUAUUGGUCAAUGGACGGAAGUCUGAACCAGCCAUGCCGCGUGAAGGAAGACGGCUCUAUGAGUUGUAAACUGCUUUUGUACAAGGGUAAACCUGAAUACGUGUAUUCAGCUGAAAGUACUGUACGAAUAAGGAUCGGCUAACUCCGUGCCAGCAGCCGCGGUAAUACGGAGGAUCCAAGCGUUAUCCGGAUUUAUUGGGUUUAAAGGGUGCGUAGGCGGAUUGAUAAGUUAGAGGUGAAAUGUCCGAGCUUAACUCGUGAACUGCCUCUAAUACUGUUGAUCUAGAGAGUAGAUGCGGUAGGCGGAAUGCAUGGUGUAGCGGUGAAAUGCUUAGAGAUCAUACAGAACACCGAUUGCGAAGGCAGCUUACCAAUCUAUAUCUGACGUUGAGGCACGAAAGCGUGGGGAGCGAACAGGAUUAGAUACCCGGGUAGUC